rnacentral:rRNA from 1 species
AACGAACGCUGGCGGCAUGCCUAACACAUGCAAGUCGAACGAGACCUUCGGGUCUAGUGGCGCACGGAUGCGUAACGCGUGGGAACCUGCCCUUAGGUUCGGAAUAACUCCCCGAAAGGGGUGCUAAUACCGGAUAAUGUCUUCGGACCAAAGAUUUAUCGCCUUUGGGUGGGCCCGCGUUGGAUUAGCUAGUUGGUAGGGUAAAAGCCUACCAAGGCGACGAUCCAUAGCUGGUCUGAGAGGACGAUCAGCCACACUGGGACUGAGACACGGCCCAGACUCCUACGGGAGGCAGCAGUGGGGAAUAUUGGACAAUGGGCGAAAGCCUGAUCCAGCAAUGCCGCGUGAGUGAUGAAGGCCUUAGGGUUGUAAAGCUCUUUUACCCGGGAUGAUAAUGACAGUACCGGGAGAAUAAGCUCCGGCUAACUCCGUG